UUCCGGUUGAUCCUGCCGGAGGCUACCGCUAUUGGAGUUCGAUUAAGCCAUGCGAGUCUAGAGGCCUAGCCUCGGCGUACCGCUCAGUAACACGUGGGUAACCUACCCUAUGCUGGGGAAUAAGCUCGGGAAACUGAGAAUAAUACCCCAUAGUCCACUACGCCUGGAACGGUGAGUGGAUCAAAGCUCCGGCGGCAUAGGAUGGGCCUGCGGCGUAUCAGGUUGUAGGGGGUGUAAUGUACCCUCUAGCCAUCCACGCGUACGGGUGUUGGGAGACAUUGCCCGGAGAUGGAUUCUGAGACACGAAUCCAGACCCUACGGGGUGCAGCAGGCGCGAAAACUUGGCAAUGCGAGAAAUCGUGACCAGGGAACUCCAAGUGGCAGGGGUAAGACCCUGUCUUUUUCCGACUCUAAAUAGGUCGGCGAAUAAGGGGUGGGUAAGGACGGUGCCAGCCGCCGCGGUAAUACCGGCGCCUCAAGUGGUAGUCGCUUUUAUUGGGCCUAAAACGUCCGUAGCCGGUCUGGUACAUUCGUGGGUAAAUCAACUCGCUUAACGAGUUGAAUUCUGCGAGGACGGCCAGACUUGGGACCGGGAGAGGUGUGGGGUACUCUCAGGGUAGGGGUAAAAUCCUGUCAUCCUGAGAGGACCACCUGUUGCGAAGGCUCCACACUAGAACGGAUCCGACGGUCAGGGACGAAGCCUAGGGGCACGAACCGGAUUAGAUACCCGGGUAGUCCUAGGUGGAAACGCUGUGGACUUGAUGUUGGGGACGCUCCGAGCGUUCUCAGUGUCGAAGCGAAGGUGAUAAGUCCACUGCCUGGGGAGUACGGUCGCAAGGCUGAAACUUAAAGGAAUUGGCGGGGGAGCACCGCAACCUGAGGAUUGUGCGGUUUAAUUGGAUCAACGCCGGA
rnacentral:rRNA from 1 species